rnacentral:rRNA from 1 species
GCCCGUCUGGCGCAGGCCUACACAUGCAAGUCGAGCGGCAGCGGGUCCUUCGGGAUGCCGGCGAGCGGCGGACGGGUGAGUAAUGCCUAGGAAUCUGCCUGGUAGUGGGGGAUAACUCGGGGAAACUCGAGCUAAUACCGCAUACGUCCUACGGGAGAAAGCGGGGGAUCUUCGGACCUCGCGCUACCAGAUGAGCCUAGGUCGGAUUAGCUAGUUGGUGAGGUAAAGGCUCACCAAGGCGACGAUCCGUAGCUGGUCUGAGAGGAUGAUCAGCCACACUGGAACUGAGACGCGGUCCAGACUCCUACGGGAGGCAGCAGUGGGGAAUAUUGGACAAUGGGCGAAAGCCUGAUCCAGCCAUGCCGCGUGUGUGGAGAAGGUCUUCGGAUUGUAAAGCACUUUAAGUUGGGAGGAAGGGCAGUAAGCUAAUACCUUGCAGUUUUGACGUUACCGACAGAAUAAGCACCGGCUAACUUCGUGCCAGCAGCCGCGGUAAUACGAAGGGUGCAAGCGUUAAUCGGAAUUACUGGGCGUAAAGCGCGCGUAGGUGGUUUGAUAAGUUGGAUGUGAAAGCCCCGGGCUCAACCUGGGAAUUGCAUCCAAAACUGUCUGACUAAAGUAUGGCAGAGGGUGGUGGAAUUUCCUGUGUAGCGGUGAAAUGCGUAGAUAUAGGAAGGGAACACCAGGUGGCGAAGGCGACCACCUGGGCUAAUACUGACACUGAGGGGGAAGGCGUGGGGAGAAACAGGAUUAGAAAC